AUCACAUCCACGCCAUAUAUUACCACAAGUAAGACUAGCAGCUCUGUUAAGACAAAAAAGUAUUGGCACCGUAUAAAAGAAGAGGAAGAAGCUGCAGUGGCUGAGCUGCAUUACUGUAAGAUUUAGCACACACACACACACACACACACACACACACACACACACAGGAUGCUGAGAAAACCUGAUGCUUUUAACUUUUGAGGAAAAUUUCCUUUUAAACUGUAAAAUUCAGAAGUGUUUUGCUAACCCUACAAUUAUCAGUGAUCUGGUCUCUAAUAGAAAUGAGAGUAGAAUAUAAACAAACAAACAAACAAACAAAUAAAUAAAUAAAGCAAACUGCAGAAAUACAGAGAGUGAUGUCUUUCAUUGAAAGUGACAGUCAGCUCAGCUGAACAAAAGUGUGCUUCCUGUGUGUAGGAGUGUGUGUGUGUGUGUGUGUGUGUGUGUGUGUGUGUGACUCUGUGGUUGAUGUGCUCUGUAUAACAGAAAUAUGAGAGGAAGAAGAACAUGUCUGCAGAAGUUUGAGACGUCGUCUGGUUCUCGAGGUGAGAAUUGAAAGAUUAUAAAAGUUCUGCGUGAGUAUUUACGCUGCGGUACUGAACUGUUUGGAGUAACGUAACGUACAGCAUUUCCUGAUUCUGCUGAAGUGUUGAAUAAAGCUGCUCGGUCGGAGGGAUGUUUGAGCGCGUGAGCAGGUUUUCAGCUGCAGGCAGCGAGGAGAACAGCUGAAGAGGACAUGUAUUUUUAGAUUACUGCAUUUCAGUUUAGAGCCAACCGUCUCGUCACGGAUCUCUGAGCCUCGGCACUUUGAAUCAGCACUUUGGUUCGACUCUUUCAGCAUCUGAGCUGCAUGUGAACGGUGAGUCAUGUGUCCAGCGUGGCAGGAAGAAGCCACAUAUAUUUUGUGAGGAGCUGGAAGCCAGAAGAACAAUCGCUGGUCAAAAUCCGGUCGUGUGGGAGUCAAGAGAACGAGUUGACUCUUAUUGGGGCCUAGCGCCGCAGCUUCAUCAGCACCUGUAGUUCUCAUCAACCUUCCUCUUCUUCUUCUUCUUCUUCUUCUUCGGCUCUUGAGUCUGUGGCAGUCCAUAGAACCGUCCAUAUGAAAGUUAUGAAAUUUGGUACACAGAUAGAGGACAGUCUGAAAUGUUACCAGAGCAAAUUUGGAGUCUCAAACCCUCUAGCGCCACCAACAGCUCAAAUUUGCACUCAUAUUUAUGCCUAUAACUUUUGAAGGGUAAGGGCUAGACACAA
ensembl:lncRNA